rnacentral:rRNA from 1 species
UACGUAGGGGGCAAGCGUUGUCCGGAUUUAUUGGGCGUAAAGAGCGUGUAGGCGGCCAGACAGGUCCGUUGUGAAAACUCGAGGCUCAACCUCGAGACGGCGACGGAAACCGUCUGGCUAGAGUCCGGAAGAGGAGAGUGGAAUUCCUGGUGUAGCGGUGAAAUGCGCAGAUAUCAGGAAGAACACCUAUGGCGAAGGCAGCACUCUGGGCCGGUACUGACGCUGAGACGCGAAAGCGUGGGGAGCGAACAGG